GUAUGCGGCUUUGAAUGACGCUGCGGUAGGGUAGGUGCGCACCAAUGUGGCGAAAAAGUGAAGCAAAAAGAGUAAAAGAGUGACAAAAAAAAAAAAGCAAAGACAAAGAAAAACGCGGGGGGCAGCAAAAUUAAAACGCUUUAGCGACUAACUGCUGGUGCUGGCAAUCACCAACAAGCGAGCUAGUGGCGUUUUUCGUGACGUUAUCGACAUACACACCCACUCAAACAGCAGAGAAUUUGUGUGCGAUCCAACGAUACGAACAAGGAGCACGCAAAAGGAAAUUACUACGAUGUCGCCGCCAAUAGCGAGAGGUGAUGGCGAAGAAUCAACGCGAAAAUUGCCCAGCGAGCCGACUGUCCAUUAGGCAAGUAAGAAAUAAAAGCAAAAGUAAAAAAGAGCAACGCAACGACGUAGCUGAAUGGAUGAUUGCCUGGCUGGCUCGCUGGCUUGAUGGCCUGCCGACUGGUUCAUUGACAGUCACCGCCAGCGCAAGCAAGCGACGACUUCAAUACAUUAUUCUUAUUUGCCAAUAAGCGACUGAAUGUAAAUAAGAAUAGCAGUCAGUGUAUGCAUCUAUGUGCUUAUGUAUGCAUAGAAAUUUGUACAAAUGCCACAUACUAAAUGACUGGUUGUCUAGCAGGCAGGCAGAGGGGCAGUGGCGGCUGCUUGAGCAGCGUUCGCAAUGGUGGCGGCGUUGAUGAUGACAAUGACGAUGGUAAAUGACGCUUGGCAACGCGCAACAGCAGAAACACCAACAAGAAGCAAAUAAACAAUAACAAGCAUUGAAACUGCUGCGGCAGUGACGGCUGGCCAAGCUUGUUGGCACAGUCAUAUGAGAGCAACAGAGCGGCGACACGGCACGUAUUUUUGCCAGCGCAAGCAGUCAGGCGAAGGAAGUUCGAAUGUGCAAUGUGCACACGCGAGGGGUCUUGGAUGACGUAUGAUAGAACGACAAGCAAUAGUGUUGUGAAAAAUGAAAACCAAAAACGCGAACAGCUUUUCGCAGACAAAAAUGGAGGAGAGAGAACUUGGUCACAGUGGCAGUCGCAGUCACGGUGUGCAAAUUACGGUCAGCGACGGCAUAGCAAUAAUCACAGCAACAUAAAUGGUCUCGUCGUCCCGAGCAGGGUGAUCUAAGCUAAGCUGCGUAGGUCGAGGGAAACAAGGGUUUAGACGAAAUCAUUAAAGCCUAACCGCGCAGAAAUGUUGCUGCUGACGAUAACGGCUAUGGCUAGUGGUAGCUAGUGUCGUUCUGGUCGCAACGUUGGCAAAUGGAUGGCAGUAAAAAUGCGUUGAGUUCUGCUGCUGAGCAGAAAAACAAGGCGCAUAAAAUCGCAAAGCAUUUUUUUUCUAUUUUUGUAUUUUUUAUUGUUAUCAUUUUUUUCGACUUAAACAUUCCCUUUUUACCCACAUACAUAUGUAUAUUACAGCUGGCAUUCUCGCACAACGCAAUCGACAGCAGCCAAGGCACACUACUGAUAAACCUGUGGGGGAAAAACAUACAUACAUCUGUAUGUAUAUAACGAAAGCAUGAAACACACGACCAUGACAUAUGAAUCACUCGCAGCAGUAUGCAGUCAGCCAUUAAGAGCGAAACGAUGCAAAAAUGCUGUAGUUGUGAGGCAUGAUGAGGUAGAAUGGAGUGACCGGUCGCCUGUCGCUGGAUGAAAGUAGAGUCCGAUGGGUGAUGUUUUUAUUGUAAUCGCACAUUGUACUUUCAUAUAUUACUGACUAGCAACGUGAUGAUGGUGAUGGUGAUAACGAUGAUGAUGUAGCAGCCAUGGUUGCUAUUAGUUGACGUAUAGUGUGAUGCGUUCUCCAGCACAUAACUGCCUGACGAACGGCGAAAUGAGUCGUGAAGCCAGACACUCCUUCAACGCGGCUAAUGACGAAGCAGGUCUCCGAGGAGCGUGCACAUGGGUCAGUGCGAGCUAGCGGCCGAUUUGACUAGUGUCGGCUUUACUGCAGACCGACUGCAGAUACGAGCCGUUACAUUCGGUCAACGCGUAACACUCGCCGCGCAAAGUUGCCAAUAGUUGCGGUUGGGCGGAUAGGAAACGCAACAGAUCGCCAAACCGACUGACGAUUCAAACUCACUGUCUACGUGCACUGUGACAUUGUUGAGAAUGCAGAUGCUGUUGCUGCUGCUGUUACGAACGGAAGUGGGCGCAAUGAAGAGUGUGUUGUUUUCCAGCACAAUGAAGUAUGAUAGAUUUUUAUGGUAUGAGUAAAUGUACAUACAUACAGCUAUGCACAGAGAAAUAGCACUUCCAAAUUUUUUUUUCAAACGAUGGUUUUUUGAAAAUUUUUAUGUUAAAGUGUUUUUUAUUUAUUUUUAGAAACUUGGUUUCGAUGUGAUAUUAUAUAAAAAAGAACAAACACUAAAUUAAAUUAACUUAUUAUCAUUUGGCAUUUCUUUUUUAUUAUGAAGUUCACCGAUUUCGGCAGUACACAGAAAUAGCAGACUUUCGGAAUUAUGUAAACGACUUUGCGCUGACCAUUCUAAUUUAUCAAUAUUUUCGGUAUAUGGUAUAACCAAAUCUUUACUGCUUUAGCUACAUGUUUCGGAUCAUUAUUAUGCAUAAAUAUCAAAUAUCAUAUAUUACAGGAAUUGAUUCCACACACUAAAAUCAAUAACUUUCUUGAACAACUUUAAAUCAAAUGAGAAAUAAUCAAUAAUAGCCGAACACCUGCAAUGGCAAUAUGCAAGUUACCAAAGAAAUUGCCAGCCACAAAAUACUUAGUUUUAUAAUGGGACAUAGUUUACCAAUGCAUGCUACUUCAGAGCUGUUUAUGCUUUAUGCUCUUUUUCCGGAGUCUGCAAGAAGUCAUAAUCCAGCGCUAACCACUAGGAAGAUUACAUUUAGUCUACUGUCCAAUCAUUAUUUAAUAAAUUUUUUUAUCUAAUUUUA